AAGACAUUAGUAGAAUUGAUACUACAUUACCUUGUCAAGGUAAAAUUGUGGGUUAAAACCCCACAUGUCUUG
rnacentral:tRNA from 1 species